rnacentral:lncRNA from 1 species
GCUUUGAAUUUCUGUUUCGAACUUCCACUAUUAAAAAGUAGAACUAUAAGGAGCUACAAGAGCAAGCACUGUCAGGCAAACUUCAGUUUAACAGUGAAGGCUGUUGGCCCUCUAUGACAGGAUCCUGGGCUCUAAUUGUGACGGGACACACAGGGUUGGAAGAAAACCCUAGGGCCAGGGAAAGACCCUUUCUUUCAAUGCGCUUAUACAAAGCCAAUUCACAGAUUCAAGAAAAAGCAGGAGAUGUGUGUUUGACUCACAGGUAAGAUUUGUUUAUUUAAAGCUGCCACGACUCUCAAGUAAGAAAUACAUAAAAGAAAGAGGGAGCACCAUUAGUUACAAUCGUGUUAUUUCCACAGGUACAUAAAUAACUAAAAACAAAUGACACAUAACACCAAACAUCAGAACCAGAACAUUAUUGCAGGGUUGCUAUAAUAUUAAAUACCUGGGUGUUCUUCUGUUCAACAAACAUGCUGACAAUGUGUUAAAGACAUUCCUUUGCAUUAAUGCCCGGCGUCUCCUUGCACAACGUCUCUGCCACCUCUGGUGAAGCAAGACGCCCUUUGUUCUCUCUGGUCAGCCACUCUCUGUGCGCUGUGGAACAAUGAAGAUUGUGCUCCAAAUGAGUGAGUGACAGACAGUAAUUUUCCCUCUUUUUUUAACCAUUUGGUUCUCUUAGCUAAAGUCCCCUGUGAACGCUAACCCACCAAAUGCACAUUGCGGCACUGUAAACCUUUGGUCCUUGAUCCGGACCUUUUAAGCAUACUUUGGGUGAGAAAGACCCCUCAGUCUAUCUGUGGCAGGGUGUGCUAUUUCCUGGAAAUCAAAGAAACAACCUACAGUUGCUUUAUCCACAUGUGAAACAGAAUAUAUUGCACUGUCAGCUACAGAGAAGGAAAGCCUGUAUCUUGUACAGUUACUGAAUGCAAUGGACAGUGAAGGUGAAUACUCAUCACUGAUUAUUUUUGAGGACAAUCAGAGUGCGAUUGUUUAAACAGCAGACAUGGUGGCAUAUAUUUCAACUAAGUCUGUAACUAAGGUCAGGAUUGAGAAACAGUGUUUUAUGCUUGGUGUAAAGGGUUAAACAAAAAAAAGGUAUUCUCAUGUCAAGAAAAUGUUGUGUCAGUAUAAGAGCAAGUGGGGAUGUUAAAAUGAUGCAGAUUUUUUGUGUUCUUGACACAGACCCAGAGCUGGCCCAAGCCUCAAUGGUGCAAUAACCAAAAUUUGACUUUGGGGCCCUCUAUUCCUGCCAAUAAUAUUGAUUGUUAAUCAUUCAAACACCUUCACAAAUCUCUUUGAUUACCAUACCAUGACAUGCAAACACACCUUUUAUCUUGGCAUUUUUCUCUUUCUUCCUCUUUCUUUUCUCUGCUCCUGAAGGAUAUGUCCUUUUUUGCAACAUUGUUUUGCCCCACAACUACAUGCGCUUUGGGAGCUCAGUGCACACUGCACAGCAAAUAACGGUAGCAGAGCUUUGACAUAUCGGCAGUAAGAAUCAUAGGCCUACAUCAGCAGCAGCACUAAAAUGUUUUUACUUUAUUUUAUUUUAUUUUUACAAUGAUAUAUAUUUGAUCAUACAGAAAGCAUCGUUCAUGCAUGCAAAAAAUAAAAAUUAUUAUUAUUAUUAUUAUUAUUAUUAUUAUUAUUAUUAUUAUUAUUAUUAUUCUAUUGCUGUUUGGGGCCCCCUAUUGGCUGUGGGGCCCUAAGCAGGCACUUAGUUCGCUUAUGCCUUGGGCCUGCUCUGCACUGACGUUGUUGUCCUGGUGCACAGGUGUUUCUAUCAGGUUAAUCAAUAAAUGACUGCACCUGUGACGAUCAGGUGUUCCCAGUCAAACGCAAUCUGAUGGCUGUGAGUCUGUGUGGAUUAUUUCAUUCACUUGCCAUAGGCUAUGCCAGUCCUUAGGAAAUUGCAGAUUCAACAUUUGAGAUACUUAAUUUGAACUGAUUUAAAAAGCAGCCUCACCGAACGAUGACAGCACUGCACUUGGAUUUGUAAUGCAUUAUCAAGAUAUCAAAUUUCUUCAAGACAAUAUUUCUCCGACUUCUUCCCAAAAAAUCAUUGGAGCUGUAAAACUGUUUGGUUUAAAUUAGAGCCAACCUGCUCCCUCAUAAUCAGAAUCGGCAUCAGCCACUGAAAAACUGUAUUCAGUCGACCUCACGCAACACAAAUAAAAAGGAAUUCCCAUCAACAUUUUUCAUAUUUUCAUCAAACAAAACCGUUGGAACAAAGGAAUUUAAAAACAUAUUAAAGAAUUGUGCAGAUGCUUUAAGAAAAUGUUGGUAAAGCUACACAGCCCAGUGCAGUGUGACAGUGGGCCAAGACUUGUCCUGUGAACAUCUACGGUAACAGAUCAGUAGGAACUGAUAAAUAAAUAAGAGAAGCUGACUAUAAUGGCCUGCAUUUUGAAACCUAUUUUGCAGAUGUAAAACUGUAAACAGGAAUUAAGUCGUGCUUAACCAGCAAUCACAGGGUUGUAGGAGGAUUGGGCUCAGAGUGUAACCACACAGGGGCCAACAGCACGUCGGGGGACAUAUUUCAGUUUCUGGCCUCAACUACAAAGAGGAAAUGACUGAAAGUGUGAAGCUUUAUUCUCAGGCUUCUACAAAGAUGAUUUUUAGAACUGACAGGUGAUACACCCACAACAUGAGGCAAUUUAAGAAACUGACUGUGAAAGUUUUAAAAUAGCUUUUCUUUAUAUGUGUGAAUUCAUGUGUUUCUGCUAUUCAUGUAUAACACAAAGUAAUUUUCGCUGCACCUUGUGUAUUGACAAUAAAGACUUUUCUAUUCUGUUCUAUUCCAUCUUAAAAGCUAUCAAGUCAGAAGUUCAAUAUUUGAAACUUAUAAGUAAUGUAAAUGUUGCUUUUUUUCUACUGACCCACAUGAUUUAGUUUCAGAAAUAUAAUUCAACUGUAAUGACUUAUUUGUCUUGGGUUUACUAGUUUUGUGAGAAAAUACAGAUUAAUUUAAAAUAUGGAAAAAGAUCUCUUGAGAUACCUGGUGUCAUGGCCCAGCUCACAAGGUCUUAGGAAAACAGUAAGACUUUGAUGCAAGUAAAGCCGAGAUCUAUUUAAAGAUUUACUGAUGUUGUUCAAAAAGCUGUCCAUAAAAGAGGUUAGAUUAGCACCCCAACACAAUGAAAAAGCAUGAAAGUUAUGAGUUGAUAACUCAUUUUAACCAUCAAUUUAGUCAUUUCUCAUAUGUUCUCAUUUUCACAUACAAUUGUUUUGUAAUUUACACCAAAGGGCAAUUUUUUUGCUUAUAUUUCACAGGUAUUCAAAUUUUCUGAAGGUUAAAAAUUGCCUUCGCUGUCCAUACCUUUACGGCUAUGGGACAGCAUUUUCAGAAACAAUUUGUUGAUCUUUAGAAGUUUAUUGUCACGCUAUGACUUGUUGAGAAGUGGAACUGCAGAGCAUUUUUAAGAGAGACAGUUAAGCUUUAUUUUUUACACAGUAUCAGUUGGGGUUUUUUUUUAUAACAUUAAGUUACUUCUGUCA